AAAAAGAGCUGCUGUUGUGACUGGCACAUGUAGGGCAGAAUCGAUAUCAAGAGAACGGGAAGCAUAAUUUUUUGGUAUUUAGGCAGCUGGUGAUUGUUCAUCCUAACACCCUU